rnacentral:rRNA from 1 species
GACGAACGCUGGCGGCGUGCUUAACACAUGCAAGUCGAACGGAAAGGCCUGCUUUCUCUUGUGGAUUGCGGGUACUCGAGUGGCGAACGGGUGAGUAACACGUGAGUGUUCUGCCCCCAACUUGGGUAUAAGCCUGGGAAACUGUGUCUAAUUCCCGAUAGGACUGCAUGGUGGUGCCUGUGGUGGAAAACGAUUUUCUAGUGGUUGGGGGUGAGCUCGCGGCCUAUCAGCUUGUUGGUGGGGUAAUGGCCUACCAAGGCGGCGACGGGAAGCCGGCCUGGGAGGGUGGACGGCGGAAUUGGGACUGGGAUACGGCCCAGACUCGUACGGGAGGCAGCGGUGGGGAAUAUUAGAGAAUGGGCGGAAGCCUGAAGCAGCGACGCCGCGUGGGGGAUGACGGCAUUCGGGUUGUAAACUCCUUUCGACCGCGAGGAAGCCACCUGGUUGGAAGGGUGGUGACGGUAGUGGUAGAAGAAGCACCGGCUAACUACGUG